UACAGAGGUCCCAAGCGUUGUUCGGAUUCACUGGGCGUAAAGGGUGCGCAGGUGGCAUGGUAAGUUCGAUGUGAAAGCCCCGGGCUUAACCCGGGAAAGGCAUAGGAUACUACUGUGCUGGAGGAUUGGAGGGGGGACUGGAAUUCUUGGUGUAGCAGUGAAAUGCGUAGAUAUCAAGAGGAACACCAGUGGCGAAGGCGAGUCCCUGGACAAUACCUGACACUGAGGCACGAAAGCCAAGGGAGCAAACAGG
rnacentral:rRNA from 1 species